GUGGGGAAUAUUGGACAAUGGGCGCAAGCCUGAUCCAGCAAUUCCGCGUGAGCGAAGAAGGCCUUCGGGUUGUAAAGCUCUUUCGGCGGGGACGAUAAUGUCGGUACCCGCAGAAGAAGCCCCGGCUAACUCCGUGCCAGCAGCCGCGGUAAUACGGAGGGGGCUAGCGUUGUUCGGAAUCACUGGGCGUAAAGCGCACGUAGGCGGCUACUCCAGUCAGAGGUGAAAGCCCGGGGCUCAACUCCGGAAUUGCCUUGAAACUAGGUAGCUUGAACGUCGGAGAGGUAAGUGGAAUUCCGAGUGUAGAGGUGAAAUUCGUAGAUAUUCGGAAGAACACCCGUGGCGAAGGCGACUUACUGGACGACUGUUGACGCUGAGGUGCGAAAGCGUGGGGAGCAAACAGGAUUAGAUACCCUUGUAGUCC
rnacentral:rRNA from 1 species